GCAUUCUGCAAAGCGCUGACAUUGAAAACAGAUGAAGAAAUAAAUUACAUGAGAACUUAUUAUAUAAGAUCCUCUUUGAAAAUAAAUAUAACAUCUUAUACUUUCCUAACAAAGGGCGGAAUUUUUGUUGUACAGAUUAUUAUGGAUCUAUACAGUCCAAAUGUGCUUUUGAUGCUAGUGCACAGUGAUUUGCACAGAAGCAGAAAGUCAAAAUUAAGUGCCAGCAAACCUGUGGAAAACAAGGAGGUGCUAAAAUGCAGACUUCUAGUUGAGGGAAAUUACUCUGUGGGAAACCACGAACGUAGUCCAACUUGCACAUUUUAUAGGGCUACGCGAUGUGGUAUAUGGCACAUCAUUCCUUUAUUGUAGAAAACUUGCAGAACCAGCUGAAAAUAAUCUGAAGAAAACUAAAACCAAGAAGAUAAAAAGGGGUCUAGAAUACUAGAUCUGUCAACAUAACUCCAGUUGCCAGAAAGAUACCGGAGCAAAAAGCAAGCCAUGGACCCGUGAUCACAACAGAAACACCAACACAGUAAGAAAUUGAUGUGAAGUGACUGACAGUAGAAGCCAGAGACUGCUCCUGGCAAGAUGGUGUAGAUGAGCCAUGUGGAGGGAGAAACCAAAUGUACCCUUCAAGAUUCCCAACUCAUGGCCUUGCUGUGCAUCACCAGCACCUAAAGCCUUUGGGGUAAGGAGUUAAAGGGAAACAGCAAGCACCAGUUUAGGACUGUCAUGGGCUAUUCACGGGCUCUGUCACAGAACCCAGAUGGCUUCAUUCAUUGCUACUGGAAGGGGAGACAGUGGCUUGCUGGACAGGAGCUCCCAAGGCCACCAAGUUGUGGCUCUAAAAGAGCAGGAUGGAAAAAUAAUUCACCAGCUAGGUCCAUUCCACAAAUAAUGUGUUAUUUGAUUCAUAUGUUAUAUGAUUCAUUUUUUUAAAUAAAGCCUUGGCAAUUGCCACAAAAUACCCCAAAGGUAACCAAACAGGCUUUAUUACAAAAAGUUGUGGAGCAGAGAGGAAUUUAUGUUUCAUAAUUGUCCCUCAGAGGACACUCAUAUCUUGCCACUGCUGGACUAUGCUGUGUGCCUAGUGUGGAUGCAUAACUGCCUUGGUUUCUUCGAAGAAUCCCUUUGCAGGCAUGCACUCAUACUGUGAAUCAUUACAGCAGAAAACUGAACUGCAGUACUAGUUAGAAAGCUGCACUGAUUGAAUUGCACUGCUCUCCAAUGCUAACUCCACAAUAAUUGCCUAAACAGCUGCUUCAAUAAGGCACUAUUUAUUUAUUUUUUGACAGGAUUUGCAGCUUUAGUGAUGCUAUAAUUACAACAAAAAUACACAAGUCACUUAAAUUGCCAGAGUAAUUAAACUAGACUAAUGUGCUGUAAUUAUUUCUUCCAAGACAAACAGUAAGUUUUCUAGUACCUUUUCUUUCUUUGUAAUGUAUUACCAAAUAUUUUCAGCCUCUGCUUCGUUUACCCUCCUUCAACAAUCUUUGGAAGGUCCUGCUAAAAUUUGAAAUCCAAAGAAGGUGUACGUUGCCCACAGAACUGCCCAGGGCCUGAGUGUUUUCCUGACCUGGGGUGCCAGUUCUCUGCUUCAGGACUGAGCCAAAGCCAGAUUCUUGAAAAGCAAUUCCUCGUGUCAGCAAGCCCUCUAAACAUUUACCUCAAAAUGGUUCCUAGAUUCACUCUUAAAGGUUCUGGCUAUCGCAUCUGUGCAAAAGCCUUGUUACAAAAGAAUAGCCUUGAGCCGAUACAAAGAAGGUUCCUCUUUCUAAUUCAUACAGAACAGAAAUUGUAUCAAAUUGGG